GAUGAACGCUGGCGGCGUGCCUAAUACAUGCAAGUCGAGCGAACGGACGAGAAGCUUGCUUCUCUGAUGUUAGCGGCGGACGGGUGAGUAACACGUGGAUAACCUACCUAUAAGACUGGGAUAACUUCGGGAAACCGGAGCUAAUACCGGAUAAUAUUUUGAACCGCAUGGUUCAAAAGUGAAAGACGGUCUUGCUGUCACUUAUAGAUGGAUCCGCGCUGCAUUAGCUAGUUGGUAAGGUAACGGCUUACCAAGGCAACGAUGCAUAGCCGACCUGAGGGGUGAUUGGGCCCACCGGAAAUGAGAAACGGUCCAGAACCCUACGGGAGGCAGGCGUAGGGGAUCCUUCGCAAUGGGCGGAAGCCUGACCGAAGAACGGCGGGGGAGUGAAGGAGGUCUUCGGAUCGUAAAACCCUGUUAUUAGGGAAGAACAUAUGGGGAAGGAACUGGGCAAAUCUUGACGGUACCUAAUCAGAAAGCCACGGCUAACUACGUG
rnacentral:rRNA from 1 species